AUACAGAGACUGCAAGCGUUAUUCGGAUUCACUGGGCGUAAAGGGUGCGCAGGCGGUUGCGUGUGUUGGGUGUGAAAGCCCGGGGCUCAACCCCGGAAUUGCGCCCAAAACUACGCGACUAGAGUACCGGAGAGGAUAGCGGAAUUCACGGUGUAGCAGUGAAAUGCGUAGAUAUCGUGAAGAACACCAGCGGCGAAGGCGGCUAUCUGGAAGGUAACUGACGCUCAGGCACGAAAGCGUGGGGAGC
rnacentral:rRNA from 1 species